rnacentral:lncRNA from 1 species
AAGGACCAAAAUUGUAUGAGGCACACAUUAAACAAAUAUUUACAUUAUAAAAACCAUUAAAACAUACAUAAUAUUAGAGGUGAGCAUAAUAGAAAAAAUAUAAGGCAAAACCAUCUGAAAGUAAAACGAUUGUUAAUCACGAGAGCCGCCGACAAGUGAACACUUAGUAGUUUUUAGAUCAGUUAAAAAUUCAACUUAAAUUCUCGAUUCUUCUUACCCUUGAAUAAUUUAAUAAAAAUCUUAAAUAAUAAAUAAUUGUUAACAAAAAGAAAGUCAAUGUGACCUCGUUACUUCGCCAUUAUGGCGAAGAGGUAUUGAUUUUCUCUUAUCUUUUCUCUUUUGAAGAAAAGAUCCUACAUAACUGUUGAACAGUAUAUAAAUAAGCUGAAAAUAAUAAAAACAAGAAAUAAAAUUAGACUGCACAUCCCUAAUAAAGAUGGCGGUAGUAGGCCUGUAGUAAGAACGUACAAACAUCAAUAAUAAAUAAGAAUAAAUGAAUCAGCAAAAACUACAAAUAUAAUUCAUGAUAAUGUUUUUACAAUGGCCAGUCUGAAUCCUGCAUUAGACAAAAACUGUAUUCAGUAAAUUCAGUAUGAGUAAAUAAAACAGUAAGAAAUGAUUAAACAAAAAGUCACUGCGCAUUAAAAAUGCUAAGAUGGCGGAUUGAACUGAAAACUAAAAUCCAUACUAUUUCCUUCCUAUCAAACCAAAAAAUUAUCAAAAUUAAUCAUUAUUGACAAAUAUUAGAAUAAUUCAAGUUGGCAAGCAAUAAUAAUUAUAACGAAUGAUUGCGCGUAGACGACAUGGUGGACCUGAAAAUCCUACAAUCACUACAUUCAGGUUAAAUAAAUUUUAAAAUAAUUUCUCCUAUCAUAAAGAGAACAAGUUAACAAAAAUCGUCAAAUAAGUUACAAAUAAAGUCUAAAAGAUAAAAAGAGUCGGGGGGACUUGGCUCAUUUUGAAUCCCUACCUAUUGGGUCAAAUCAUGUAAAUGAACGCUUUCUUUCCCUUUAAAAUUAUAAAUUAACAAAACAGCAAAGUUUUUAAUAACAAUAGUAAAAUAAGGUAUGACCUAAAAAAGAAGUCAGGGCUACUGCGCAACGUCACAAAAAAAAAUGGCCGUCGUACAUACACGGACUUUCUCUUCGAAAUCCUACCUAGAAAGUCAAAUCUAAGUAAAAUAACCAAUUUCUUUCAAUCUAAAAUUAUAAAUUUAAUAAAAAUUUAGUUUUUAUUAACAAUAAUCGUAAAAUGACCUAAGAUAAAGUCAGAGCUUAUGUGCACGUUAGGUAAAAUGGCCGCCGUACAAGCAGGAACUUUUUAACUAUUGCGUAACCAUUUUCAUGAACUUUAUGUAAAGGAAAAACUUAUAGUUUUCCCAAAAACUCAAAUUUAAAGCAAACAGUCUAGUUUAUAACAAUCGUAAAAUAGGUACUAAAUAAUACAAACGGCCUAAAAAGAAAUUCAGGAUGGUUUGCCACGUCAGACAAAAUGUCCGCCGUACAAGUAGGAACUUUCCAACUAUUGCGUAACAAUUGUAAAGAACAUUUUAUACUUGGAAAAACAAAUUUGUAUUCCUAAAAACAAAUACAUUAGGAAAACAGCCUAGUUUAUGAACAAUCGUACAAUAAGUAAUAUGGCCUUAAAAAUAAAUUAAGGUGUUAGCCACGUCAAACAAAAUGGCCGUCGAACAAGCACGAAAAUUCUAUUAACAAUCUGUAAGAACGUAUAUAAAGGAUAAACCUAUUAAAAUUGUGUUUGUUUGCAUUAACCGUUUAGAAAAGUUCUUCAAAUUGUUAA